CGAAAUGCGAUAAGUAAUGUGAAUUGCAGAAUUCAGUGAAUCAUCGAAUCUUUGAACGCACCUUGCGCUCCUUGGUAUUCCUUGGAGCAUGCCUGUUUGAGUAUCAUGAAAUCUUCAAAGUAAAUCUUUUGUUAACUCAAUUGGUUUCUACUUUGGUAUUGGAGGUCUUUGCAGCUUCACACCUGCUCCUCUUUGUUCAUUAGCUGGAUCUCAGUGUUAUGCUUGGUUCCACUCGGCGUGAUAAGUUAUCUAUCGCUGAGGACACUGUAAAAGGUGGCCAAGGUAAAUGCAGAUGAACCGCUUCUAAUAGUACAUUGACUUGGACAAUACUUUUAUGAUCUGAUCUCAAACCAGGUAGGACUACCCGCUGAACUUAAGC
rnacentral:misc_RNA from 1 species